rnacentral:sRNA from 1 species
GCUGGGCAUGGUGGCGCACGCCUGUAAUCUUAGCGCUCAGAGGCUGAGGCAGGAAGAUUGUGAGUUCAAAGCCAGCCUCAGCAACUCAGUGAGACCCUGUCUCUA